CGAAGUCGUGAGACGGAGCCAAUCCCAGAAAACCGAAUCGUAGUCCGGAUUGCAGUCUGCAACUCGACUGCAUGAAGUCGGAAUCGCUAGUAAUCNCGGAUCAGCAUGCCGCGGUGAAUACGUUCCCGGGUCCUGUACACACCGCCCGUCAAACAAUGGGAGUGGUGUUUACCAGAAGUCGUUAGCCUAACCGCAAGGAGGGCGGCGACCACGGUGAGCACCGUGACUAAUGUUAAGUCGUAACAAGGUACC
rnacentral:rRNA from 1 species